rnacentral:tRNA from 1 species
GAGGUUAUAGCUCACUGGUAGAGUGCAUGCUUAGCAUGCACAAGCUCCUGGGUUCAAUCCCCAGUGCCUCCA